GGUAUGAUGAUGUGGCAUGCUUGCAUGUUGAGAGAAAUCAAGUAGUGGGUUUUUCCUACUUAGAUAUAGAAGAUAAGAGCCCAAAGGCCCUACAUGAUAGGUUGGUUUUGUCUGUUUGCAGACGAGGUGGAACUCCUUUGGGGUAAAACGACUAAUAUAAGGAUGUCUUGUGAAGGCAAACAAGCCGGUCACAAGAAACGUCUCUAGACAACUUAACGACCCUCGGAGGCACGUUUGUAAUGGGCCGCUAGCCCAACUUGCGAGACUGCACCUGGUAACCAAAUCUAGACGUCCAAAACAUUAUAAAAGGAGGGGAUGAAAACCCUAGCCGACGACCACCACUUGAUCUCCACAAGGCUACGCCACCGCCAACAAGAGCUCCUCCACAACUCCAUUGCAGCCACCAAGACCAUCUCCAUCCAUUGCAACCUUGAAGGAAGACACCAAAGAAGUAACUGGACGUCGUCCAUGUGUUGUUGCCGCCACCACGCCGUCGCCGUAUCUGCUAACAUCUCUACCACUCCUCUUCCUUCACGGUCUCUAUGAUGGGUUGUAAUGACUCUUGAACCCCCUUUUUAAUGCUAUGUUUUAUUUGACCGUGGAUGAUGGUUGUUGCUUAUUUAUAUGUUGUCUAUCUUCACAUUAUUAUGUUAGUAAUCCACCGGUUUAGGUGGAGACAUCCAACUCCCAUCGCAUCUUUUUCGGCAAGAAAGAAGAAGGGAAGGAGACAGUUUUUUUGGCAAAUUACGUCAAUCUUGUCAGCCGAAAUGUGGCCCAAAUGGCCACGUCACCAUGUUAGAGCAUGAGACACACACUUAGGACCUGUGUUGAACAACCUAAACAAGAAUUAGGACCAAAAUAUGCAUUCUGAAAGCAUUGGAACUAACUUGGCACAUUUAGAAAAGAAUUAGGACCUCCAGUAUAUUUUACUGUAUUUUCUUUUCUGAAUUUUUUUAUUUUGAUGAAUAAUUCCCCUAAUAAUUUGUAGAAUCCCGAAAUUUCCUUCUUUCUCCGACUAUGCUCGGGAAGCUUCUAGGAUUUGGAAAAACCCUGAUAGGUGCGAUAUGAGGAAGGAUGGAGAUAUCGUGAGAGGAUGGCCGCCAUGGGGGCACCCGUGCCCAGGGUGUUAGGCCAAACUGCCCCGGCCACAUGGACCUCCCCGGUGGCCCACAUUUUUAUGACGCGUCCAUUUCGACCCCUUAAUCACUUGAUCUAUAUACUUCCAAAGCGUCCCGUUGCCAAAAGAGAGGCUAACUAGCGAGACAAGAUCGAGAGUGAGAAAACCUUCCGUACUCCGUGGCCAUAUGCGGCGUGCCGCUGCGUGCACUCGUGGCUAGGUGCGGCGUGCUUUCAUGUUGUCUAUUACCUAGUGACCAGUUUAUUUGAUCCACAAAAAGUGUUGACCAUCUUGAACUAAAUUAGUACAAAUUUUGUACUAAGUGGGCGACACUUUUUAUGUAUUGAAGGGAGUACCUAGUUAUUAUGUUGUCUACUUUGAUCCUCAAAGGGCAAUAAAUUUCGGUAGUGAUGGCAUCAAGACACUAGUAGGAGUGAUCAAUAUGGUGGCAUAUCAAUGGAUACAAGCCAAUAGUGGUAGCAGUACAAUUAUAACAAUAUCCGAUGUGAAUAUGUAUUGAUAUGCGUUCGUCUGUAAUUAAUGACUUGGUCCUGAUUUGACGUUAAUAGGUUAAGCUUUUUGUGCAAUUUUUGUCGUACAUGUAGUAUAGUGGUUUGGGGUUGUUGAUGCACUGGUCAAGAUUAUUUUCUUAGCAUCUAAUUAGUUUUUGUUGGAUGCAUUGAUUAGAAAUUUAGAAUGCCAUGAAGAGUGAUUUGAUCAUUUGUUAUAGAGUCAUUUAAUUCCUGUUGUUCUUGAACGAUUUGGGCCAAAUUAUAUAUAAAGGAUGAAGGGAGGUGGGCUCAUGGUCCAAAACAGAUGACAUAGGUCAGCCACUCCAUGCAAGAAAAUUCAUUUCUGGUAGGCGCCGCAUCGUAUUGCUGUCACCCGCCUCUGCCCUGGAGUCGCAUCCAAAAAUAUUUUAACCUUUUUGCGCGAUGUGAUAGGGAUACACAGGGAGCAACAUGCAUGGGUACAAUUACUUGAUCACAACGGGAAUCAGCGGGAGCCGCAAAAGAAAUUUAGAUUGGACAUGGCACCGUGUGGUCCCGCCAAUAAACUUAAAAUUAGGCUAGUAAAAUGCAUUAACAAUCUUGUACUUGGACGUUUCGCUUUUGUCCCUGAACUCGAGAAAAGCAGUCUAUAACCAUCUCGUGUAAUGAUCUUACUUUCAUCCUCAGUCACGCUUGUAACCAAAUUCAACGCCAGUCAUGCGUGAACGAUGUCAGCAUGGAAAAGAGCACAAACUUGGUGUAUAAUUUUCCACCUAGCCCACUCUCUUUUUCUUUUAUCAACACUCCUACAUAUUGCUAAGCCCUUUGCCCCUUGUGCAUCUUCAUCUAAGCGACGACGGCAUCAGAGGCGGUGGGGGUAGGAGCUAAUGAUGUUGAUGUCGUGGAUGAGGGCGGUGCUGGAGGAGAUGGUUGUACAACGCAAUUGGGAGGUGCCCGGAUCACAUUGUCCUGGCUGGAUAUGAAGCCAUUGGGGGCCUCAACGACGCGACUUUCCUCGACAAGUUUGAGCGAUGGCGUGCCACUUUCCUUGACACAUCUUGUUGUAAAGUUAUGAUUGGAAGGUUAAAGGACCGGGCUACUAAAAAUGAUGGAAAGAAAGUGGUCUUUCGCAAAAAAAAAGACCACUGGUGUUGUCAACGGCAAGUGAGUCAAGUAGACAAGUAAAAUGUAUAAAAUAUACUAAGUGAGUGGCACUUUUUAUGAAUCGGAGGCGGUACAUUCCUCUAUUUGGUCGGUGACUGAAGUAAACCAAGUUGUCCACGAAAUCAAACCUUAGGUUCAUCCAUCCAAACAGAUGGUCGAGAUCCCCCCGUGAACUUUUACCUAUCAGCAACUUUAUUUGCUUCUUGUGGACUUAAGAUUAUAUUUGAACGUUGCCUUUGCGAGUUCCCUAGCAAAAUGAAAGUGUUAUGCCCAGAUCAACUCUGGACAAGAACAAGCAGCAAUCAACAACACACAAGAGAAUAAUUUUGGGGAUUUUUGGUUUUCUAUUGUUUUUGAUGUUUUGGGGUUUUCUCUUAGCAACGCUCAGAGGCGGCUAGGGUUUACAACCGGGAUCAAAAGUGAUGAGCAUCUAGCUCUUACACGGCUUAUAAAGCCCAGAAACUACACCAAGAUAAAGUAAAAGAACGCGGUGAUAUAAGAUACAGUAACUCUUGAAAAGGUAGUUUGGAUGGUAGCCCUUCAUCUUGUGGAUCGACGACUGAGUCAUAACGAUACCGCUUCACCUUUAACUGAAGAACUCGACAGUGAUAACUGAAGACUGAACACUCGUCAUAUCCUGACAAUGCCCCCUUCUGAAGAUAAUCCUUGUCCUCAAGGAUUGAAAUCUGGAAAUAUCCUCUGAAUGAAAGCUGCUUCAAUUGGCAGGUUAAUCCACUUAAUGAGCCACUGAACAACUGCUACAUUGAUGUUAUCAGAAGUGGGUCUUGGAACCAUUCUUCUUUCCAGAAUUUCCUCGGGAGCAACCUGAAUGUUUCCAUGGUCAUCAACAAGAGGAAGAUAUGGGUUUGCCACAGCAUGUUUGCCCAAAUGUAACUUGAGUUGGAUGACAUGGAAUACAGGGUGGAGUUUGCAGCCAGCCGGCAGUAAUAGUCGAUAGGCUAAUUGACCCACUUUUUCCAGAAUUCUAAAAGGACCAUAGUACCUUGAAUGAAGUUUUAAGGAUCUGUGUAUACUCAAUGAAGUAUGUCUAUAUGGCUGUAUUUUGAGAUAAACCAUGUCUCCAACAUUCAACACUCGCUCAGUUCUAUGUUGAUCAGAAAAGUACUUCAUACGUUGUUGAGCUUGCAAGAGGUUAUCCUUAAUCAGUUGCAUAGUUACCUGCCUCUGUUGUAAGAAGUGUUGUGCCUUUUCAUUAAUAUUGUCAGCUAUGAUCUGCUCAGCAAUCAUUGGGGGUGGAAUACCAUACAAGGCUUGGUAAGGCGUCAUUUUCAAGGAGCUGUGAUAACUGGAAUUAUACCACCAUUCUGCUAGGGAAAGCCAGGAAUGCCACUUCUUGGGAUGUUCAAAAGCCAUACAUCUCAAAUAGUUUUCUACACAUUGAUUAACUCUCUCAGUUUGCCCAUCAAAUUGUGGAUGGUAGGCAGUACUCAUAUUUAGUGUGAUGCCCAUAGAUUUGAACACAUCUUGCCAUAAGUGACUUGUGAAUAUUCUAGCCCUGCCAGUGACUAUAGCAGCUGGUGGUCCAUGCAACUUAAAGAUGUUAUCAGUAAAUGCCUUGAUCGCUUGUUUGACACUGAUAGGAUGUUUCAUAGAAAUAAAAUGGGCAUAUUUGGUGAAUCUGUCAACCACUACCAAUAUCAUAUCCUUGCGUUCAGAGGUAGGUAACCCUUCUACAAAAUCCAUGGAUAUCUGAGACCAAGGUGUGUCAGGGAUAGGAAGAGGUUGUAGUAAUCCUGGUGAAUGACAGUGUUCAGGUUUGUUCAGUUGGUAGACAGGGCAUUCUCUGAUGAACUGUUGCACAUCAUGCUUCAUAUUUGGCCAAUAGAAUACCAACUGAAGUCUGUGAUAAGUGGCUUUUUGACCGGAAUGUCCCCCUAAAGCUGAUUGAUGGAAAGAAGCAAGUAGCUUUGUUCUGAGUGUGGCAUUAGAGCCCACUACAAUCUUACCCUUGUAUCUGAGUAUACCAUUCUUAAGUGUGUAAUUAGGAAUACUGUCAGUAUGGAUAGACAAAGCUAUCAGUAAUUCAGUGCAUUUACUGUCCUGUUGAUAUGAUUCCUGAAUAUCUGUUAUCCACAUAGGUACUAUUGUGGUGAGAGCCAUGAGAGCAGGUUCUAGGGGAAUUCUGGAUGAGGCAUCUGCAGCUCUAUUUGUUUUCCCUUGCUUGUAUUCCACUUUGAAAUCAUAACCAAGUAACUUGACUACUAAUUUAUGCGGAAUGCCCUGAGUGACUCUUUGUUCUUGAAUGUACUUGAGGCUUUGUUGAUCAGUCCUGAUGACGAGGGUGUUGCUUGCAAAGUAAUGUUUCCAUUUCUUUAAUGCUUCCAAAAUAGCCAAUGCUUCUUUGUCAUAAGUGGACAUAGCAGCUGCUUUAGGACCAAUAGCUUUGCUCAUAAAGGAUAUUGGUUUCCCUUGCUGCAUCAACACAGCACCAAUACCAUAACCACUUGCAUCUGCUUUUAGGAUAAAUGGUUUGGUGAAAUCAGGUAAUGCUAAAACAGGAGCAGUUGUCAUUUUAUCCUUCAGCUCUCUUAAAGCAGCAUCUUGGUGUUCCAACCAAGUAAAAGAGUCUUUCUUCAGAAAAUCAAACAAAGGUCUACAAAUGAUGCCAUAUCCUUGUAUGAAUCUCCUAUAAUAGCCAGUAAGUCCAAGGAAACUUCGGAGUUCAGUAAUGUUUUUGAGAAUUGGCCACUAUUUAAGGGGGUCAGUAGCUACUCCUUCAGCACUGAUAAUAUGUCCGAAAUAUUCCACCUGAGGCUAGCCAAUGGUGCAUUUGCUGGCCUCUACAAAAAGCUUGUUGGUCUGCAAGACUUUAAAAAUUUGCUGCUGGUGAAUGAUAUGAUCAUCCAAGGACUGGCUGUAGAUGAGAAUAUCAUCAAAAAAUACUAAUGCACACUUCCUCAAGAAUGGAGCUAGGAUAGUGUUCAUCAAAGCCUGAAAAGUUGCUGGGGCAUUGGUGAGACCAAAGGGCAUAACAAGGAACUCAUAAUGUCCAAUGUGAGUACUAAAUGCAGUUUUAUAAACAUCCGCAGUGCACAUUCGAAUUUGAUGGUAACCAGAUCUGAGAUCAAUUUUGGAGAAUAUUUGUGCUCCAUGCUAUUCAUCCAAAAGAACCUCAAUGAUUGGAAUAGGAUAUUUGUUCUUGACUGUCUCACUAUUUAACUGUCUGUAGUCCACACACAUACGCCAGGUGCCAUCUUUCUUCUUGACAAGAAUAGCUAGUGAAGAAAAGGGACUAAGACUAGGCCUGAUUACAGUAGAGUGCAGUAACUGAUCCACUAUGCUUUCCAUGACAUCUUUUUGAUAAUGUGGUAAUCUAUAACUGCGUUGGUUGACAAUCUUAUGAUCUGGAAUGAGGGGUAUUGUAUGAUCAAUAGUUCUAGCAGGAGGCAACUCAGUGGGAGUAGCAAAAAUCUCCUUGAACUAAUCCAAGACUGGUUGUAGUGCAGGUACAGAGACAGGAAGAUUGCAGUGGAAGUGUCAAUUUCCUGAGCAUAAAGAACAGCUCCAGAGACACCUUUAGUGAGUAAUUUGGACAACUUAUCAACAUCUAUCAUGCAAGUGGAAGUGGGCAUUAUUUCAUUAAUGAAGUUGACCAUAUGGCCUGCAGGGACAAUAACUGCAAAGUGUCUGAGAUUAUAGUCAGCAUAAAUUGGACUAUACUGACAUAACCAAUCAGUUCACAAUAUGAUGUCAUGGCCAGUAAGCGGUAAGAUUCUGAAAUUGUUAGUGAAUUGAGUGCCUUGAAUGGUGUAAGGACACUUGAGACACUGAGCUUUGCUCCAAAUAAUAUUUCCAUUGGCAACCUUAACUUUCACUGGUUUACAGUUAGUUAACUGGCAUUGUGCUUUCAUAGCAGUGUCCAUGUGCAAGAAUGUUCCACAGCUGCCACUAUCAAUUAAAGCAGUGACUUUAAGAGAACCGAGUUGCACUCCUAAUGUAAAAGUUUUACUAGCCACACUCAUGCCCUCAGUUGCAUGGAUGGAGAGUUGCAAUGUUUGGUCUUGUUGAUCUUGGGCCUCUUCUUGGGCAGAUUCAUCAAAACUUUCAUCUGUGUAGAUCACUUGACGAACACCAUUGUCAUCUUCCCCUAUGACUAAGGCAUGUAUUUGCCGCUGGAACUUACACACCUUCUUGUGACCAGGUUCCCAGGGUCCAUGACAUUUGUAACAUUCACCCUUAAGCCUAGCAUUCUGGAACUGUUGAUUGACAGUUGGUUGUUUUGGUUGCUCAGAAGCACUGACAGGAUCUUUUCUGUGUUGUGCAGGCUGGUUAUAAUUAGCAAACUUCUUGACAGGAUAGGAUUGCUCAAUUCUCCUGGCCAUCCACAUAGCUUCUUGAAUGUCUCUAGGUUUGUGACACUGCAAGUGGUGUUGAUUGUAGUCAUUCAAGCCAGCUACAAAUCUACUGACAUAAUAGUCAUCAGGAAGUGCAGGGUUAUCCCUUCUCAUUAGACCCAUUGCUUGCUCAAAACUCUCAAUAUAAGCAGAAACAGUAGUGGUCUGUCUGAGUUUGUGAAAAUUACCAACAUUAUCAUAAGUAGAUGUUUCAGAAAAUCUGUCUCCAAUGGCUCUACAAAAUCUGUGCCAGGGCAUUCUGUGUGCUCUGAAUCCAGUAGCUAUCCACCACUGAGUAGCUGUGCCUUUCAAAUAAAUGACAGCAAAUUCAGUUCUCUGCUCAAUUGGUAAGCUGGCAGCAUCAAAGUACUGCUCUAGUACUUGAAUCCAAUGGUCAGCAUCAGCUCCUUCAAACUCAGGAACAUUCAGUUUAGGAGCUUUCAAGACUGUCUGCAGCCUGCUCUGAUCAUGGGGAAAAUGGUAAUUCCUGUGGUUUCUUCCAUUGUGGGGAUAAGGCACUCUAGGUUCAUCAUCAGCCACAGAACUUGUAUCAAUAGCUACAUAGUUUCCUGGGUAAAAGGGGGCUGCUUUGGCAGUUAACUGUUGGUGGUUGGGCUUUGCGAUAGGUGUUCCAUCUAAGUUCAGUUGUUGACCACUAGCAUCAUGGAGAGUGGCGUAACCAGUAGGUCGAUUAGGAAUGAAGUUGUUGGGGAGGUGGUGUGUGGAGGAGGGGUUGUGGUGGCGGUGUAUGGGAUGGCUGGGUUGGUGGAAUAGGGUGUUGGAGAAGCUGUGGAUUGGGGUGUUGGGGAAGGGGGUUGUGGUGUUUGGGAUCUGAGGUAUCAUGAGGAGGAUCUAAACGGUUCAAGCGAGCAGUGAUCAAAUCCAUAUUCUCCUGUUGGUGUUUAAAGAUAUCAGUGAUAGAGUGAUUGAAGGACUGCUGUACCUGCAAAUUUGCAGCAGACUGGGCAUCACUGUCUUCCUGCCGCUUCAACAAGGAAUCCAGGGAGGUGGUGAGCUUGUCUAGGGCUUCCACAAUCGCAUCCAUGGAGGCUGAUGUCUUCGUCAUGGGAUGGGUGGGUGGGUUCAAAAGAACAGGGAUUUUACCCGGAUAGCAGUGUGCUAAACGAACCUCUUCAAUUGCACUCCAACACCAAACCCUCAAAUCUUCCUUGGAUAGAUCUGGCUCCAGAGUUUUACAGAGCAACUCGUACUCAAACCCUGACCAAAAACUAACUCAAGAACAGAUUUAAGGCCGAGAAGCGAUGGCUUUGAUACCACUGUUAUGCCCAGAUCAACUCUGAACAAGAACAAGCAACAAUCAACAGCACACAAGAAAUAAUUUUGGGGAUUUUUGGUUUUCUAUUGUUUUUGGUGUUCUGGGGUUUUCUCUUAGCAACGCUCAGAGGCGAUAGGGUUUACAACCGGGAUCAAAAGUGAUGAGCAUCUAGCUCUUACACGGCUUAUAAAGCUCAGAAACUACACCAAGAUAAAGUAAAAGAACACAGUGAUAUAAGAUACAGUAACUCUUGAAAAGGUAGUUUGGAUGGUAGCCCUUCAUCUUGUGGAUCGACGGCUGAGUCAUAACGAUACCGCUUCACCUUUAACUGAAGAACUCGACAGUGAUAACUGAAGACUGAACACUCGUCAUAUCCUGACAGAAAGCAAUCAUCUAAUAGAUGCCAACUGUCUAGACUACCUCGACAUUACCCAGUUGACUUUACACUCUAAGCUUUGGUGCAACACCUGCGCCUCCGUUGAACAAAUAUAUCAACCAAGUCCAGACUUAUCUGAAGUGACCUUUCUGGCACCACCAGAAACUAAGUGCUGAAAGAACGUUGUGUGUUUCAUGUCUUUGCAGCAACAAAAAAUGAACAAAAAGAUCCCAACAAACCAUAUGGGUAUGUCAUGGUAAAAAAAAUGCGUAUGUAGUUUUAAAUAUCAGACAUCCAACGUGACAUGAUUUGCAAUUUGGACGCUCGAUUCAAAAAAAUUAAAUUAAGAAAAAAAAACUUGAUAAGAAUAAUCCCCACUCAAGAAACUUGUGAAGUGCCUCCUGCGCUUUUGGGAUGGAACACGCCUACACCCGUGACUACUCCCUCAGUUUGGGUUUAUAAGGCUCCUACUGAGGUUCGUGUCACCUUUUUACCAGUAAUUAUUCAACUUAUACUUGUAUAUGUGUAUAAAAUUUAUACCAUUAGAAAGAGUUUAAUUAUGAAUCCAACGAUAAUCUUAUAUUACUAAUGUAAUUUAUGGUCAAAGUUGGCAUAAAAUUCCGCAUGGGUCUUAUAAACCCAAACAGAGGGAGUAUCUUUUUUGCAAUCAUGUAUUCCUGCAGAUCGCCUAUGUACAUACAAAGAUGCACAAUGUGUAACCAGUUGUGAAACACAACUAAAAUUUGCGACUUAGAAACAAACACACACAUGCCUGUAGGUAGAUACCAAAACGAUAUAUCUGUCGAUUAAAGUUUGAACUAAUAAUGGUUCAGUUUUGGUACAUCCAUCCUGCCAAACUAUAGAGAAAACAAUUUGUUUGCCAGCAAAAACCAUAUCAAUGACCGAGAUUACUCAGAUUGCUCUGCCAGUUCACUAUCUUCCUUAUUUGUACCAAAUUCCUUCUGGCAGGGAAUAUUCAUAGUUUGCUGCGAUGUGAUAAUUCCUGAGAUUGCUUUCAUGGCAGCAGUAGUACGGUCACUGCUGACAACUUCCUCACCGGAUCCCUCGACGGGAUCAGCAAUCUCAGAUGGACCUUCGUUCUGCUGCGGUGGAGGCACAAAAAAGGGUAUCUUACCCCUCUGCCAGUCAUGAAGUACCAUCUUUGCUGCUGUUGUCAGAUCAGGUUCUCCUCCCUGCACCAAAAGUUACAGAAUUAACACUGUUAUUACUAUUUGAUCAUUAUAAACCAGUAGUAGUCUUUUGAUCCCUGAAACAUUAAUAGAUAAUAACAAUAUCUCCAAUUUGCAUCCACCUGCCAUCACAAGAGAAAUAUUUGGUAGAGAAUAUAACUGCAACCUAAUAUAAAGAGUGCCACACCUUGAGCAGUUUACCACUCAUCUUGCUCAGCUGGACGAGAAAAUCAUUAUCAUCAGCCCUGGAAAGAGGAAAGAUAUUCAGCACAACAGAUGUGUCAUCACCAUUGGUCUUAAUUGUUUCAUUGGAGAACACCACCAGAUUAAUUAUGAUAUGGAACUUCCAUUCGAGAUCAGAUUUCUAAAUAACCAGCUAUGCCCAUUGUUCUAAAGCCUUUGAGAAAUCAAAAGCACAGCAUGCCCAAAACCCAUAAUUAGACAAGGCCCAUCAAAUAGCAUGCCAGAAGGAAUUUGGUACAAAUAACAAAGUGAACUCGCAGAGCAAUCUGAGUAAUCUCGGUCAUUCAUAUGGUUUUUGCUGGCAAACAUUUUAUCUAUAGCAUUCCUAAUAUAGCUUGUACCUGUAAUAGCUAGCGGCCUAGCGAAACGCUAUAUCUUGUGUAUUAUUCAAUUCUUUCACUGUGUGAUAUGUUGCCAUCUUUAGAGUUUACUCUCACAAGGUUAAUAGUACUCCCUCCGUUCCUAAAUACUUGUCAUGGUUGCACUAAAACCACGACAAGUAUUUAGAAACGGAGGGAGUAUUAUUUAUAAUUCAUGUCCUAGAGGCUAAAAUGACUCAUUUCAAAUAAAAUAGAAAUAGGAAACAAGAUUUAGUUAACCACCCAGAUUGCAGGUAAAAAAUCAGUGUCCUUUUAAAUGAUAUGUAUUACUUUUUAAUUUUCAUGUUGCAUAGUUUUAUCUUAUAAUUUAUUUAGUAAAAUAUUAUUUCGUUUAUACAUAGCAUGCCUCAGUACACGAUUCUUUUAUUUGCAUAUUUAAAUUAUAAGAUUCAGAUCAUUAUAUUUAUGUUUGGGCAGCAUUAUUUAGUUUUACAGAGCAAUAACUAGUGUAGAUCAAAUAAUACUGAAUAACAUAGCUUGCACGACAGCAUUUUUGGCAACAGUAAUCGUUUACACGAAAGCAAUAACUAGUUUCUGUAUAUGAUAUUUUGCAUGGCAGCUUUUUGGCACCUUGCCACAAUGUUGCAGAAAUUCUAGAUCUAUAACGUUGAUAUCAAGGACAUCCACUUCAUAGAGUAUCAAAAGGAGCAAAUAUGCUAAAAGGUAAAUAACACCAUGGCAAAUGGUAAAUUCAGCCAACUCUGAUCAGUGUUGUAUAUGCUAAAAAGCUAGACAAAACAAUAUUUCUGUGCAAAGAAUAUGUGAUGUGCUUAGAACGAACGCUGCUAACACAAUACACUAGAACCUUCAGGAAAAAAAACAUACCAAUCUUGUAUUUUGUAAGCUCUUUGUAGGUGCUCCUUUUUUACACGCCUAAGAACUUCACCUAUGUGCUCAGAAGCAUCGUCCAAAUUUGUCACACGUACCUGGUGAAAGACAUUAGCACAUUAAAAUAAUAAUAAAUGAAAGUAAAAUUCUUAUGAGUGGUACUCAAGUAAAUAUUAUUGUAAUUCCCUGCGGCUGGGCAUAAAUCUAGAUCAGUGCUUCCUAAGAUGGACCAAGCGGUACAAACUACAAGACAUGGAAAUACAGAUUGCAAUAAAGUUGGUAAAACGUCUUUCGCGUAUUAGUUAUGCUAGAUAAUCACAAGAUAAGAAAAAUAAAAACAGAUGCAAAUAUUCACUCAACGGUAGAUUGUCAAAUAAUGCACUUUCACUAACAGAGAAGACAUACAAAGGACACGACUGAAGAUACAUACCACACCCUUAAGAACCACAUCAGUUUCUGAAUCAUUGUUUUGGUACACAACCCCAGGGCAAUCAAUUAAAAAGAUCCUUUUGGUCAUGGUGAUGUACUGCCACACCUUCGUCUCUCCAGGAAUUGGAGCUACCUUGCAAACCUACAGACACAACAGAAACAAAAAUAGUCAGAAAAUUCUCUAAAAAGUGACAUCUAAAAAGGAUAGGAAGAGGAGAAAAUUACAGUCUUGGAGCGUAGCGUGUUGAUAACCGAUGAUUUCCCAACAUUAGGAUAUCCAACAAAUCCAACAGAUAUAGCUUGUUUAUCGCUCCUCAGACGGGCAAACUGCCGUAAUACUGAAAGAAGUGAUCCCUGGAAUUGGUUCAAGAGCAUAAGUUUACAUUGUAUACAAUAACAUACAUAUAUUCAUUGAGAAUCACACUUACUUUGCCAAAUGACUUGUUGAUGCUUGCAUGAAACGCUAGGGUUGGAUAGUCCCUCGACAGUGUACGCAACCAUCCUUUAGUUGCCCAAGCAGGUAUUAGGUCACACUAAACAAAAAAUGAAACAUGGCCAACCAUCAACGUGCCGCAAUAUAUUGUAACAGGUAAAUAAGCAAUAUUUGCACACAGGAAAAUAUAUAUAAAUUAGUUGAUACCUUAUUUAGUAAGAAUACAAUGUGUUUGUGCUUAGCAUUCUCCUUCAGAUGUUUCUCUAGAUGGUAGCAUCUAGUGCCCAUUGGAUCCCUGGCAUCCAAAACCUGCACAAGAAAAACAUGUAAGCUAACAAGAACACCAAUAUAUACAGUCCUCAUUUAAUAUAGUCACUAGGUGCUCAAAAGUUUAAUUGGUUACAGUGUGAAGAGUAAUUCUCGCAAGGACAAAAGUUUGCAACACUGACCUGCACAACAACAUCCGAUGAGUCAAUUACUUUAUAAAGUUCACCCCAGAUUCUUUUGCUUUGUCCCUUCUCAAACAUAUUAUGACGGACUAGAUCUCGUAAGCCAUCUUCCUCUUCAUCCUUUGGCAACUUUGAUGAAGCAUGUUUUUCCUCAAAUGCAUCUAAAAAGCAGAGACUAAAAUUUUACCAAGGCAGGGAGAGCUAUCCUUGAAAAAUAAUGCAUACGAGUUCAUGUAAUUAAAGAUUAUUAUCCUAAGAGUCUGCCUCAUUGACUGCAAAAAAAAAUGGAAUUCUUAAAACUUUGAAUAGCAGAUGAAUAGCGUGCGCCCUCUUGUUAGUUUAGUUUUAUCAUGUUGCCACAUUACAUGACAUAAAUCCGCACCAGCUGCAGAACUGGAGAUCAAACUGAAAGCCAAUUGCUUAACUAAAUAAGCCUAAAUGACAAUAAAGCAGAGGUUCUUUAGCAGAUAAGCAUAUACGACUCAUACCUUGUGAAUCAUCAGCUUUCUUUAUUAGCGAUUCAUAAUCAAGACUGGAUAGCUUUGGGCGUUUCCGCUUGCCCUUUGGUCCAAAGGCAUGCUCAAAAGGCUCAGUCUCAAGAAGAUGUGCCCUAGCUUGCUGUAUCAACAUAAGAUAUAUAUGAGCAACACAUUCCAUACUACAACGUGACUACUUAACCACUGUAGAGAAAGGCCCCAGGUUAUUUAACCAAAAAACGGACUCAAUAAUAACCAAAACAAAAGAACAGAAGUUGGUACUAAUAGUUUCAGAACCAGAACACUGCACACACAGUAAUAGCAUCGCAUACAUGUUCCACAAGUCAAUGACCUGUAUUUCAGAAGCUAUAUAAUGUACAUGAGUUUCAUUCACCUUUUGAUGAUCCUGCAAAAGGGCCAUUGGCAACUUCCGUGCUUUCAAUAUCACACUGUAAUUAUUUGCAAGCCGAGUCUCCAGUUCGCCCCUGAAUAAUUCAAGUUCUUUCUGACCAACAGUCCGUGUAUUUCCUGUAACAACCAAGGGGCAAAAUAAUUACAAUCAACAUUCACUUCACAUCAGUGGCUUACAGUGGAGCAAACGGGAUGACAUGAUGAUAACAGCACGGGAAACAUUAGUGUGCAAAUUUAGUCGCUAAUAAAUCAGAAAGAGAAGGAACGAUUCGCUCACCGAACCACCGGCGGUCGGGCUCGAUGCGGGUGUUAGGAAGCUCCUUGGACUGGCAGUCGUUCGAGAGUAUCUUCCCGCCGCGGUCCCUCUUGGGACGAACCUUGUACAUCUGCAGCCGCCGCACCGUGGCCGCGGACCGGCGGCCGCCGGCGCCCGCGCCCUUCUUGUCAUUGGGGCGGUUGACGUCGAGAGAGUGCCGGGGCUUGCCCGACACGUUCACCGCCCGCUCCUUCUUCUUCGCCAUCGCGCGCUCCGAAGAAGAUCUCUCUGUGUCGUGAGAGACCAGAAGGCAGAGAGGAGGCGGUGGAAGGGAGGAAGCGAGGAGGGGGAGGCUAGGGUUUUGGAGGAUAGACGGGAGGGCAAAGGGCGUGCGUUGCACGUGCGCAUUUAAGGCCCGUGAGCCUGGGCCUUUGGCGGGCCAUACUGGUGUGUGUAGGCUUCGUAGCUGAGCUCCCAAGCUGCUGGGCCAUGACCCCUCGCCACUGCUAACGUAACGGACAAGUUUUUUGCACAAGAGCUCUGCCCUAGUUGUCACCGCUGAAGAUUUAGCGUUCCCCUCGCCUCCGGCCGCCGUCUUGGUGCUGCGAGGUGGGUGAAUCUCGGUUUCUCCUAAGAGUAUACAGAAGUGUUUGCCUGUUCCAAUUGUUUGGUUCUGAUCGGCAACGCAAUGGCGGAGGUUGCGAUGCCGUCCCGAAUAAAGGUACUCUGGUUCUUCUUCUGCUGUGGUGUUGUCUCAACGGGCGUUGCUGCGGAGUCAGAGAUUUUUAAUCCCCGUGGGUUUAGUGUACCCGAUCUUGUGGAUCUUGGGUUUUUGUACUCGCAGAUCCGUUUAUACGUAUCUGUUAAGGUUUCGUUAGUGUGUCAUAAUGCUUUUGUUGCUUUAUCUUUUGUAAUUUUGAAAUACUUCUCUGGUGUUCUGAUGAAGAUCUUGCGGUUUGACGACUUGAACGUUUAAAGGAUCAUCCCGGCCCAAGUACAUUCUGCUCAUGGCUUCUCAUCUUUUUUUUAUGAGCGACUCAAGGGACUUUUCAAAACCUUAAAAGGUAGUAAAGUUCGUGCAGGGAUACCAGUAACGAUGUUGCUGCUAAAGUCUGAUUGCAGUUUCCUCGUUAAAGCCUCAGCAGAAUUUUAUGUUGCAAAUCAUGAUAUCACGGAGAAGAUGUGUUUAGGAGAUUUCAUUGUAAUUCUUAAUUAUAGGAGUUACCUUGUAGUUUCUAGAGUCUAUGAUCCAAAGCAUUAUACUUGUAAUGAUUCUCAUGUUUGAAUAAAGUUACAGGUUAUUCUAAAACAAAAGUAACGUAAAUUUCGAGUUUCGCUAAAAAACCGUAAUUUCGAGUUUUCCGGCAUGGUUUUGCACAAAACUACUCCAAAAGACCGUUACAAAGAACCUAAAUCAUAACGAACUGACGUUCCUUAUUCCGAUCUCCCGCGCGACCGAUUCCUAUUGGCUCAAGCGGUAACAGCUGUAUCGCAUACAGGUGCUAGCAAACAUGCAUACAUGCUAAAGCCGUAAAAGUAGGAGUGUAAAUCACCUAAAUCUUAUGGCGCAUGCGUGGCUGCGGCUGCUGAGUGUGUGGUUGCAUGCACUAAGUUUGUUAUAUGAAUUUUGUACUAAUUGAUUUUUUAAUAUUCAAAAUGUUUUAUAACUCAAACCUCAAACCGUCUGUCCGGUUCAAAAUCCGUUUUUACGGUUGACUUCGUGUCGACGAGUGGUUCGAAUCUAGAUCCCACUUUGGCACACUUGGACAAAAAAAAUUUGGACCAUUUUGUUAACAAACAAUAAUGUACAAGUUAACAUCUUAUUUUGAAAGAAGUUGUCAUGUGAUAGCAUGUGGUAACUUUUUUUUUAUAAACACAGUAAAAACGCAGACGCUCACAACACGCGCGUACACUCCUUCUCUAAGAAUGCACACACUCACACCCUACCCCUAUGAGCACAUCCGAAAGACUGAUCCAGCAGAUCUUGAGACAUUGACGAAGUCACCGCAAGCGCAUCGCUGUUAUGGGUACGUUACCUACCACUGAAAGAAUAUCGUCGGUUAAAUCCUGAAAUAAUCCAGAAAAACGUGGCACCCAUGUCAAGUCUGAGACUUGAACGUGGAUGGCUGGUUUCACCACAAGAAACCAGACCACCUGAGUUAGGCUCAGUUCACAACAUGUGGUAAGUUAUUGCUAACAAGAUGGCAACUUUAUAUAUCAUUGCUUGGUAAUUUUAGUGCACGAGUUACCACCUCAUUUCUAUGAUCUUACCACAUUGGCAACUUGUUGCUAAUAGGAUAGCAACUUUAUAUAUUAUAGGGUGGUAAUUUUAGUGUACAAGUUACCACCCUAUUUGUAUGAACUUACCACAUUGGUGAUUUGUUGUUAAUAGUAUGGCAACUUAAUAUUGCUUCAUGGUAACUCUAAUGCACAAAUUACCACCCUAUUUGUAUCACAUGACAACUUAUUACUAACACGAUGGUAUAUUAUUGGGUUGUAAAUUUAAUGCACAAAUUACGGCUCUAUUUCCAUGAACUUACCACAUGGUAACUUGUUUCUAACAAGAUGGCAACUUUAUAUAUUAUGUGCCGGCAACUUUAAAGCACAGUUACCAUCCUAUUUGUAUGAACUUACCACAUGGUAACUUGUUGCUAAUAGGAUAACAUCUUUACAUAUUAUUGGAUGGCAACGUUUAAGUUGAUUUUUUUAAAGAUAUCAAUAUGGGAUCUAAUUUUAAAGAUCUCGUCGAGACAAUGCUAACCGUAGAGACGAAUAGUUAAUUGGGCGUAUGGUUUGAAAGUUAUCGCACUUUAAAGUAUCAGUUUUUUAAAAAGCCAUACAUGUUGCAUGCAUGCAUUAGGCAUGCAUGCCGGUGUCUUCCUAUAACCGUACACGCUGCCGAGCGAUUGCGCGAUCGGUCGCGCGUUAGCAGUGCCCCAAAAAGAAAUCUAUUUUAAAUCAGAUAAAAAAUAUUCUCAACUGCGAUAUUUAGCUACAAAAACUCUUUGAGGCUGAAUUUUGCUAGGUAUUAGUGUUAUACAUCUCGACGUUGAAAAAAACUUGAUAAGAUAGUGGGUGAAUCGAAGUUUAGGAGACGAGUAUCAGGGAUCACGACAUUGAGCAUUCAGAGCACAAUACCAAUCACAUGGGCUCUAAGGUAUUUUCAGUAUCGCAGGACAUCAACGCCUAUGUCACCCUUUUUUUUAUGGAAAAAGCUAAAGCCCAAAAAAACAAGUCAAAAUCACUUGAUGCCACACCAAAGGCCGAAGUAAUGUGAAAGAAAAAAAUGGCUGGCAUUAAGCAAAAGGAUUAGAUUUGGUUAAAUUGUUCAAUUGGGUCAUUUAUGUCUUUAUUUUAAAAAAUGAGCCAAAUUUGUUAAAUUUCACUUUUCAACAUUCCUUGUCUAUGUUCAUCAUAUGAUGUAGCAUAUUUGCUCGAAAAAUGAAAUCAGAUCACUAGUCUAAAACAAAAACAUGGUUAGUGGUAUUUUCCUUUAAAAGGCAGAACUUGUGACUAAACAUAUUUCAGGAAAAAAAACUUGUUAAACACGUCCCAAUGACUACUCAAUUUGCUUACUGCUAUUGGUCUUUUUCAUCAUUUUUGUUUUCUUUGCUUACUAGGAUGAAGCUGCGUCUGAUGGAUUUCAGAUUUGCAUCGUAUGCAAGAUCAAGUUUAUGCUCGGUCUGGUGCGUUCAGUUUUGCAUCGGACUAGCUUCAUACGCGCGCCUUGCUGCGCAGGGGCGAAGUAGUAAUCAACUAUCGGUCACUUGGUUCAGCUUUACCACGACAACCACGACUCACCGACCUCAUAGUCGUGACCGCCGGCACACCAUCCUGUCCAGACCGACCUCUACCACGACGACCACGGCUUGCAGACCGCUCAGUCUUGAUCGCUGGCUCAGCAUUUCCAGACCUGCCUCUACCACGUUAAGUUGACCACAGCUCGCAGACUGAUCAGCCCUAAACACUUGCUCCACACCAUGUCUCAUACCAUGCCUGCCACGUCUACCAGAUGCAGCAUCCAUGACCAGACCACAGAGCAACCCACAAACAACAGAAAUAGCCUCUAGCCAUCGACCCAACAACACAUAUCAAGCCAAAAACUUCAGAAGAAAAUCAACAACGAAUGCACGGCCGUGGACCAAUUCACGUAUCAACAACACCAGACCACGCACGACAAAACAAUAAGGAAAAAAAGAAAACAAAACAUCAUACUAGAAAAUCAUAUCCACCCUGACAACCAGACAACAAGAAAAGCCCACGCACCAACAGCACCUCCAAAGCCUAUGAAUACAAUACAGAUCAACAACUAAACAGGACACCAAUCAACAAACCAACAGGGAAAACUUAGCAAGACAGAAGAGGCAGCCAAACGAUCGAACAAACGUCAAGUGAAGCACCCAACAAACCAACAGGAAGAGCACAAGCAGUCACAACAUGUGCCUUCAUAGAACCUAGGAAAAUCACAUAAAGAAAAUGUCAAUCCCAAUCAGAAUCAUCACUUAGCAAAGACGAAAAGCAAGAAAAAAUCGGAAUAAAAGAAAGGAACCAGCGACUGGCCAGAAGAACAAUGACGCAUGCAGUAACCGAAAUGAACCCACCCUGCUAUUUAUGCUAACACGCAACGAAUUAAAAAGGCCAGCGCACAACUCCAGAGACUUCCACAAACCACGCAUCCUCCUGCAUGCACACCGGCCGGCAAUGUAGCACGCGCACAGCAACCUGACCAACCCACUGCUCCCCACCCACACACUGCCAGCGGGCCACUAACCAACCAAACCCCACCACCCACAAAUAUCCACCAGAGAUCCCAUGACGCACCACUCGCUGACAGCAGCCCAACAAAAUCGGCCAAGCCCACAGUCAUUCAAAGAAGGAGAGCAACACGUCCAGUCAACCAGACGGAAAAAACAAUCCGCAAAAUAAAAGAAAAAAAACGCACUCACCUCCAUGGAGCAAGGAGAAGCUGAACAAUCCUUCAGCCUUAGGAUUUGGAUGUUAUGUAUCAGGGAUGGGCAGUUCAUUGAAAACAGAUUUUAAUGUCGCAAAAAAUUCAAAUAUUGACACACGCGUAUCUAGUACUCACAAAAUUUCAUAUUCAAUAUGCAGCUUGACAAACAAAAAAGACACACCAGACUAUGAAUAGUACCAAAUUCAAAUAUUUAGCAAGUACCAUGAGACUGGUACUAUUCUUAGUUAGAUAUAUAUCAUUUUUGUUUCAUGAGCUGUGAUUGAAUUUGGAUCUGAAUUUCGGGGCAUGGCAGAUGUAUGCUGUGUUAAUGUCGUCAAGAAGUUUCAAAACUUUCAUUAUUGUUAAAGUUUCAAAAUCUUUAGCAAAUAGCAUGACACCGGUAGGAGUACAUGAGUACAGCUCACGUGUCCCGUGCAUGUAUGCCGCCGGUUUAUCAUACCAGGGGGCGGUAAACUGACUGCUGAUGAUGGUUGUACUGUCAGAACUCAGAAAGUCUGCUCAAGAAAAUAUCCUUUUCUUCAAAAGAUAAAUGGAGCAAACAUCCAACGUUCUAACAUCAAAUCAAAGCUGCAGGACAAACUGGUAGCACUGUGAAGUCACCGAUUCACACCAUCACCAUCAAUCGGUAAAUAACGCCUGAAGCUGUCAAGAUGAGACUCGGGGGCAUGCAAUGGAAUAAACUCGUAUCAUUCAGCGCCUCUACUUUUCUUCUUCGAUCAGUUGUUUUUCGUGUUGGAUACAAAGAAACUUUUACAUGCAACAGAAGUACAGAAGAACAAGUGCUCCAUGCAUUGUCCAGUUGUCCACUGUGCAGCCUAAUAAGCACACGUCACAAUGUUCUUUCAAUCUCCCCUUGAGAUGUGAAUGCCACUAGUUCGAGAUAUGGAUGUUGGUAGGAUGAAGCUUGUUUGUUUCGGAGCAAAUACUUUUGUGUCCCCACUUUCACGAAUUUCAAGCCCGCAUAUUCUACACAGAGCUUCCAGCUCCAUUUCCUAAAGGAAUGCCAGUAAGUUUCAAUAGUCAGCUGCAGUUUUGAAGUGUUUUGCAAAAUACUUCCAUCUAAAAUUAAGAGUACCUCAAUCAUCAGGAUUUCUGAUAGAUGUGUCAAAGGAUGGUGUUGAAGUUUGUAGCCACUAUGAUUGAAGUACAAUAAUGCUCUGGCCCGGACCUUCAGCAGCAAAACAGGUGAAAUAGAAGUUGAUAUGUCAGAGUCAGGCAUGCAUCAGUAUGCCAGCUUGUGAAGAAGGCAAUAUGAAGCACCCAUUUCAGUUUUAUACAAAAGGAACACAAUAUAAGAACAAUCUAACUAACAUAAGUACAUAACAACAAACUCCAGGUCUAUUUUUAUUCCUUACUGAAAGGAUUAAAAAAACAAUCAAAUUAACUGACAACAAAAGCAAUUUGAAAUAUAUUUUGCCACAAAACAACCCAGCAUAUUCGUAGUAUGUAGGCAUUAAAAAAACCACCGAUGCAUAUCCAUAUUUUUUAAAACCAACUAUGCUUGCAACAGCUGGAAAUAGAUACUGCAUAAGUAACAUGGGUUCAGAAGUCAAUACAUAUGGGGAAGAAUGUGGCUUCAACUGAAAUAUGUCAGGCUUACCUCAUUGAGAAAAGGUUCUACCAAACACAACUGUAGGUCGGUUGCUUCAUCUGCUAUCAUGCAAAAGAAAAGCUUGAAGUUUCCAAGGUGGUAGCAUCUACAGAGAAGACCAAAAGAUAUAUGCACCAUUUAAUUUUUUAAACAAAAAGGACAUGACAUUGGUUAUGAAUGUGCAAUUGGCACUUGAGAGAUGUCCUAAAUCAUAUAAUGGAAGCUGCAACUUUUUUUUUUAAAGGAGGCUGCAACUGUUGAGAAGGAAAAGAAAUCCAUGAAGAUUCUAAAUUCAAUUAUCUGAACAGAUAUGGGAGCAUGCACAGAAAACAGGGUCCUGCACAAUGACAAAUACAAAAUGUACAAGUUACCUCAAUAUAGUUCUAGCAAAUAUCAUUUCUUUCGAUCGUACUAUUGAAGUUGCUAAAUGACUGUACCACAAAGAGAGGGAGUCUGCCUGGAGAUAAGUAGAAAAUUAAGGUGGGAUAAGGGCAAGCAUAAAGCAUCAGGCAUAAGCAAAUCACACAAAUUUCAUUAUCUAGAGGGCAAUAAGAAUGCGAAGCAUACCAUUUUGGGUAUCUUGCAGCCCAAAUGUAGAAGCACGUAGAAGGAAUAAUACUCAGCCUCUUUAUUGCUGUGGUAAUUGCUCUUAUUAAUUGUAUGAUACAUUUCAAACAGAGAAACAAGACAUUUCAUCAGCUGCUCUGUAUUUAGGUAGCACAUGGAAGAUGCAUCAGAAUCCUGGCAUGACCUAGAAAGUUUUUGAUGGGACAGAAUAUGAAACUUUAUCUGCAGAAGCAGGCAAGCAUUAGACAAAGCUGUGAAAGAUACUUAAUAUUGUAUACAGUUCAGGCAACUAGAUUCUUCCAGCUGAAAAAAAAAUGAUGCCAGGCAACAUAACAAUGAAGUCAGCAGCAUUCAGAGUAUAAACAAGCACCUAAUUGCUAGCGCAGAUGCCAGGUCGGAAAUGCAUGAGAACUCAUCGAAGCAUGCUUAGUGAAGGAAGAUAUUUCUCAAAACAAACUUGGAAAAGAAGAUAAUCUGCGUAAUCAUCCAAUCAUAUCAUGUAGCAAUCUAUCUGAUACCAUUUGCAAAAGAAAAGAGUUAUAAUUUCACCUCAAUCUUGCUAAAAAAAGGUGUUAACAGUUUCCUCACGAUAAAAGAAAAGAAAGGUUAGUCUGUGAUCUUGAAUAUCUAAUUCAAUAAGUACAUCUGAAGUGAGAACAAGUUCCCCCAUAAGACGCAAAUCUAGCUUCU
rnacentral:lncRNA from 1 species